GGGAGGAGGAGCCAGGUCAACUGAGUUCAUGGUCACCCGAGUCAACCCGCCAGAAGCAGCCCUACAGCUGCCAUUACUCAGUACACCGGGCCAAAUACAUAGCAUGUUCUUGUUUUCUUCAGAAAAUACAUAUGUGGAAAAAAAUAGUGCCUAUGGAUUAAUCCCAAACUCCAAAAGCAUGGCCGAGAAUCUGGUCUUCUCUGUUUUACCUCCCUUGCCCUCUCUUGACUGACACUCCAUCCACAUCACAUGGAGGUUUUCGACGUCCCAAACUUUCUUGCUUUGGCAUCUUAAAUUUUUUGCUUAUUUCCUGAGAUUUAGACUCAAAUAUCCAGCUCCCUGAAGAACAUCUCCAGCUUGGCUGUCCCAGAGGCAUCCUGAACCAAUGGAUCUAAAACAGAAGCCCUCAGUCCCUCCCAUGGUCUCUAUCAGGGUGAAGGCGCUACCACCUGCUGAGUCAACCAAGUCAGAAAUUAGAAGUUCUCCGGAUUCUUUCUUCACCCUCCAUUAGGAAUCAAAUUCUGUGAUUUUUACUUCUGCAUCUCGUGUCUCUCUUCCCCCUUUCCAUUGGCUAUGCUAUGCUAAAUAUAAGAAAUGCAGCCGGGCGCGGUUGCUCAUGCCUGUAAUCUCAGCACUUUGGGAGGCGUGAGCCAACAUGCCUGGCCACUUCUUUAGUUAUUCCAAAGUUCAGGUUAGUUGUCAAUGUAAUAGACAUGGAUUAUUAAACUUUUGUCUACUACCAAAAAUCCAUUCGGCUCACUGUACGACACAUCUUAAAGCUUUUACCACUUCCAGUGAUUUUUAUGCUUAAUUCUGUCCCUCACCAAAGUAACUAAGGAGUGUCUGGGAUCACAUUUAGAGAUUGCCUCUCCUAACGAAUACAUAUCUAGUUUUUAACAUCUUAGAAAUAUUUUAUUUUUCAAUUCUUCUACUCAAUCAGCAUUUAUUCAGUACCUACUGUGUAUCCAAGGCAAAGCAAAGAAAUAUUAUCAGGUAAAAGGUUUUGAUGAGUGAUUGCAACAAACCAAUCAUCCAGCAAAUAUUUCCCCAGUGGCAUGUGUGCAGAUCUCCCAGCAGAAUCAGUGCUUCAGUUGCCUAAGGGGCUCCUUGGGGAAAUUCCUCUUGAGGGAAAACAACUUUGAAAAGGAUCACCAUAAAACACUCUGGAGUCACCAGACUAGAAGGCAUGUUUAAAUGUUCUUUUUUGCCCCUCCACCAAUGAUUCUUAAAGAUAGGGCAUCCCAUCAAUCAUGCUGGAAAGAUCAAAUGAUUACCUGCUUUAAAGAUCUUUACUAGAUAAUUUUGCUUCCCAAACUCUCUGGUUGAAUACAUUCUGGUUUUUAUACAUUUUUGCAGGAGAGAUUAGAGGGCAGGCUAGGGCCUGUGCGUGGGUGGAGACAGACAGGAAGUGUGUGUGGAAUAGAGAAAAAGAGGAAGGGAGUGUAGGAACAAAAAUUACUUAGGGUUAAGAACCAUAGGACAUUCCUGAGUUUAUGACAUAAUUUGGGGAACUGCAUAUGCCACUUUCAUCUCAUCAAGAAGGACUUUAGCAGUGAUGACAGCUUUGAAUGGAGAAGUCAUUUACUAAAGGAUUCAACAUGUGUUCUGGGAGUCACAAAGGAAAGUCAGAAAAGUGAUUCCACAAGCAGACAGCAUUCUGUCUUCUUCCCUGCUUUUAUGGAAUUAUCCUAGCUUCCUUGUCUCUGGAGGUUUUCUAAGAACAGAAAUUCACACCGGAUUUCAGAGGCUACAUGCUGUACUGAGUCUAUGGCACGACCUCGAACAGAACAAACCCAAAUAAAGAGGACAAACACAACAUGUUCUUGCUGCUGACAACCUCAUUCCUUCCCAGCAGACUACUAUGGUGUUGGGAAAUAAUUGGGAAAGAAAGUCCAUUUUUGAGUACAUGAAGCUUGCUCAAUGAAUUCAGAGUGUUCUCUCUGGGAAGACUCAAGGUCACAGGGAAACAUCUGUCUAUUCUCUCAGCAGUCACUUACACUAUCUGUUCCAGAUGUUCUGACUCUGAGCCAGGAACAGAGACCAACAUUCUCUUUGACUCGAAGGUAGUUAAACUCCCACAGAUUUAACAUCUUGCCAAAUGUGUGUUCUGAUAGCUUCUGGUGGAGCUUUAUGCUUCAUUUAUUCAAGGAAUACUAGCGUAUUUAAGGAGCUAAACAUUAUUUUAUGUAAUUUUCAUUAAUGGGUUUGGAAGUUGCAAAAAAAAAAAA